rnacentral:misc_RNA from 1 species
CCAAUAGCGUAUAUUAAAGUUGUUGCAGUUAAAAAGCUCGUAGUUGAAUUUCGGGAUCAAGUCGUCGGUCGUGCCUCGGUACGCACUGGUGACAUUGGUUUCUCCCUUCUGAAGAACCUUGAUGUCAUUAAUUUGGUGUCUUGGGGAAUCAGGACUGUUACUUUGAAAAAAUUAGAGUGUUUAAAGCAGGCUCACGCUUGAAUACAUUAGCAUGGAAUAAUGAAAUAGGACGUUUGAUUCUAUUUUGUUGGUUUCUAGGAUCGACGUAAUGAUUAAUAGGGAUAGUUGGGGGCAUUAGUAUUCAAUUGUCAGAGGUGAAAUUCUUUGAUUUAUUGAAGACUAACUACUGCGAAAGCAUUUGCCAAGGAUGUUUUCAUUAAUCAAGAACGAAAGUUAGGGGAUCGAAGACGAUCAGAUACCGUCGUAGUCUUAACCAUAAACUAUGCCGACUAGGGAUCGGAUGAUGUUAAUUUUUUAAUGACUCAUUCGGCGCCUUACG